rnacentral:other from 1 species
CCGCGCGCGCCUAGCAAGGAAGCCUGCGCCCGGAGACAAUCCCCGGGAGCGCCGCCGGCCGGUGCCCCGCACGCCCCGGGCCAUGCAGCGGCGGCCGCAGCGGAGCUCGGAGCGGCGGUAGCGCCCCCUGGGAAGCGGCCUGUGAUGCCCCGGCCGCUGUGAACGGUGCUGCCCGCGCCAACACUUCCCGGAGCCCCGGCCACGCGGAGCCUCGGACACGCUCGACUCUGCGCGCCCGCAGCUGGCACCGAGGAAUCCCGGAGAGCGGCGAGCGCGGGCAAGGCCUCCCCGCACGGGCGG